AUUGAACGCUGGCGGCAGGCCUAACACAUGCAAGUCGAGCGGUAGAGAGGUGCUUGCAUCUCUUGAGAGCGGCGGACGGGUGAGUAAUGCCUAGGAAUCUGCCCUAGUGGUGGGGGAUAACGUUCGGAAACGGACGCUAAUACCGCAUACGUCCUACGGGAGAAAGCGGGGGAUCUUCGGACCUCGCGCCAUUAGAUGAGCCUAGGUCGGAUUAGCUAGUUGGUGAGGUAAUGGCUCACCAAGGCGACGAUCCGUAACUGGUCUGAGAGGAUGAUCAGUCACACUGGAACUGAGACACGGUCCAGACUCCUACGGGAGGCAGCAGUGGGGAAUAUUGGACAAUGGGCGAAAGCCUGAUCCAGCCAUGCCGCGUGUGUGAAGAAGGUCUUCGGAUUGU
rnacentral:rRNA from 1 species